UCUGGACAAACGCUGAGUAUUUUACUUAGAGGAAAGUCCACACUCACACUAUCUGUGAUGAUAGUACUGUUUGUGCUUAGGGAAAAAAUAACCUAAGGGAGGGAUUCCUUACGGCAUUCAUCAAAUCUAAGGAUUUAUCUAUGAUGAGAUGAAUAUAAAGUGCCACAGUGACGAAGCUAUUUAGAAAUGAAUAGAUUGAAACGCGGUAAACCCCACAAGUGAGAAACCCAAAUUAUGGUAGGGGAACUAUCUAAGGAGAAUCAGAAUCCAAAGAUGGAUAGCAUAUGCUAUAGAUAAAUGUUUGUCACCUUUUAGGUACAGAAUGUGGCUUAUAA
rnacentral:RNase_P_RNA from 1 species